UAGGGAAUCUUCGGCAAUGGACGAAAGUCUGACCGAGCAACGCCGCGUGAGUGAAGAAGGUUUUCGGAUCGUAAAACUCUGUUGUUAGAGAAGAACAAGGACGUUAGUAACUGAACGUCCCCUGACGGUAUCUAACCAGAAAGCCACGGCUAACUACUUGCCAGCAGCCGCGGUAAUACGUAGGUGGCAAGCGUUGUCCGGAUUUAUUGGGCGUAAAGCGAGCGCAGGCGGUUUCUUAAGUCUGAUGUGAAAGCCCCCGGCUCAACCGGGGGGGGUCAUUGGAAACUGGGGGACUUUAGUGCAGAAGAGGGGAGUGGAAUUCCAUGUGUAGCGGAGAAAUGCGUAGAUAUAUGGAGGAACACCAGUGGCGAAGGCGGCUCUGUAGUCUGUAACUGACGCUGAGGCUCGAAAGCGUGGGGAGCAAACAGG
rnacentral:rRNA from 1 species